rnacentral:hammerhead_ribozyme from 1 species
ACACAGCUGACGAGUCCCAAAUAGGACGAAACGCGCGUUCUGGAU